UACGUAGGUGGCAAGCGUUGUCCGGAUUUAUUGGGUUUAAAGGGUGCGUAGGCGGCUAUUUAAGUCAGCGGUGAAAUAUCUCAGCUUAACUGAGAGGGUGCCAUUGAUACUGGAUAGCUUGAGUACAGACGAGGUAGGCGGAAUUGACGGUGUAGCGGUGAAAUGCAUAGAUAUCGUCAAGAACACCGAUAGUGAAGACAGCUUACUAGGCUGUAACUGACGCUGAGGCACGAAAGUGUGGGGAUCAAACAGGAUUAGAUACCCCCGUAGUCC
rnacentral:rRNA from 1 species